GAUGAACGCUGGCGGCGUGCUUAACACAUGCAAGUCGAACGAUGAAGCCCAGCUUGCUGGGUGGAUUAGUGGCGAACGGGUGAGUAACACGUGAGUAACCUGCCCUUAACUCUGGGAUAAGCCUGGGAAACUGGGUCUAAUACCGGAUAGGAGCGUCCACCGCAUGGUGGGUGUUGGAAAGAUUUAUCGGUUUUGGAUGGACUCGCGGCCUAUCAGCUUGUUGGUGAGGUAAUGGCUCACCAAGGCGACGACGGGUAGCCGGCCUGAGAGGGUGACCGGCCACACUGGGACUGCGGCACGGCCCAGACUCCUACGGGAGGCAGCAGUGGGGAAUAUUGCACAAUGGGCGCAAGCCUGAUGCAGCGACGCCGCGUGAGGGAUGACGGCCUUCGGGUUGUAAACCUCUUUCAGUAGGGAAGAAGCGAAAGUGACGGUACCUGCAGAAGAAGCACCGGCUAACUACGUG
rnacentral:rRNA from 1 species